rnacentral:rRNA from 1 species
CAGCAGCCGCGGUAAUACGAACCGUCCGAACGUUAUUCGGAAUUACUGGGCUUAAAGCGCGUGUAGGCGGAUGAGCACGUCCGACGCUGAAAUCCCCCGGCUUAACCGGGGAAUUGGCCCGGAUACGACUCGUCUGGAGGGAGGUAGGGGGGCCUGGAACUUCGGGUGGAGCGGUGAAAUGCGUUGAGAUCCGAAGGAACGCCCGUGGCGAAAGCGAGGCCCUGGACCUUUUCUGACGCUGAGACGCGAAAGCCAGGGGAGCGAACGGGAUUAGAUACCCGAGUAGUCCCUGUCUCUUAUA